AACGCCCUGCUUGUUACGUGGAAGAAGAAGCGCCACAGCCAACAGUAUGAGAAAGGGAGCUUAAUCUUCCUACUGCUGUGGCAGUAGGAAUGCGGCACCCACCUGUAUGAGAAGAGGACUGUGCGGGCUAUUCUUCCACGGACAAAGCAGGGUUUUU
rnacentral:other from 1 species